CUAUCCUGUGGCACUUCUUCUCUCCGGUGCCAUUGGUUGAUUCCUUUAAUUUGUUUUGCAUGGCUAACGAUGAAUGCAGGACCUCGGAUACCCUGGUCUCUCCUCGCAAGCUGCACCUGUUAAGUCUUUUCUUGUUCCUCCUGCUUCUUGUUCAUGUCGGUGGAGAACGGCCGGGCGAUGUGGUAAUGGAGGACGAAAGGAGGUCCAAUAAUUAUUGUGGGACUGCAAAUAUAGGGUCCUCCCGUGUGACUCAAGAGUCCAGAGAAGCAGGUGGCAACAAGCUUCACAAGAGCGGUGCCCACCUUCAUGUCUCACUAAGGGAAGAUGAACUCUUCAACAACACUAAACAUGAAGUCCCCAGUGGUCCAAACCCAAUAUCUAAUAGUUCGGAAAUGGGAGGAAGAGGGAGAUGAGAAAGAACAACGAGGUUUAGUGGGGAGGCAGCACUGGUGGUUGCACAGUUCAUCAGCUUGUUUUGGCUUUUACUUUGAUGAGACUGCUUGCAUUUUAUCAAAAGGAGAACAGACCUUGUGCUUUGGUUUCUCGAGAAAGGCAUGCAGACAACGGGAGAGGAGAGAAUGCAUCCAAGGCGGCCGUGAUGAUUUGCUUUAAUAUGGUAAGUUCCAUUUAGCCUUACCUUCCGACUGCCGAUCUACCAUUUGGUGAACCCUACCUUCCAUGAAAGUGGAGUAACCUGGAGUUUUCAGUACUUCCUCUUGGACCCUCCAAUUCAUCUUUCCCAAGCACACAAAGGAGAGGGGGAACUUGCCCAGAAAAGAGGAAAAAAAGAAGAGUUGAAAUGGUUGAUCUAAUGUAACUUGAACAUUGAUUGCAUUGUCUCCUGCAAACUGGUUUGAGUCAUUUGAGUUACGAAUUGAUUUGGCA